UACGUAGGGGGCAAGCGUUGUCCGGAAUUAUUGGGCGUAAAGAGCGUGUAGGCGGUCCGGUAAGUCAGCUGUGAAAGUCAAGGGCUCAACCCUUGAAAGCCGGUUGAUACUGUCGGGCUAGAGUCCGGAAGAGGCGAGUGGAAUUCCCGGUGUAGCGGUGAAAUGCGCAGAUAUCGGGAGGAACACCAAUGGCGAAGGCAGCUCGCUGGGACGGUACUGACGCCGAGACGCGAAAGCGUGGGGAGCAAACAGG
rnacentral:rRNA from 1 species